rnacentral:rRNA from 1 species
AGAAUCAACGCUGGCGGCGUGCCUAACACAUGCAAGUCGAACGAGAAAGUGGAGCAAUCCAUGAGUAAAGUGGCGACCGGGUGAGUAACACGUGACUAACCUACCUUCAAGUGGGGGAUAACCUCGGGAAACCGGGCUAAUACCGCAUAACAUCUUUGGAGUGGAAAUUCUGGAGAUCAAAGGAGUAAUUCGCUGGAGAGGAGUUCGCGGCCGAUUAGCUAGUUGGCGGGGUAAUGGCCCACCAAGGCGAUGAUCGGUA